rnacentral:lncRNA from 1 species
GGUCUGCUACUUCCAAUCCGUCUUCAAGCUGCUCAGUUGCUACUCAGAAAACCAACUUCCCGCCGCCUUUGAGGUGGCUACACGCAUGCGCACCAUGCCUCCUGCGCGCUUCUGGGAAGUUCAGAGGGGUCGGGGCUUAGGUGUAGACCCCGGACACAUAUCCGGGACUUUGGCAUGUUGUGCAGGACCUCGCGGUGACUGAGCUCUUUCCUCUGCAGGGCCGACCCUGAGAAUCCGUACAACACAAGAGCAGCUCCUGGGGUCUGCACUCUAGCCUGCUACAUGGGCAGCAAGAUGGGCUCUGGUGGCCAGAAAAAGUCCUACGGCAAAGAAAUGCAGAUACUAGCAGUUGGACCUCCAGCCAGUGUAGUGGAUGGAUUGGUAAAGCUGAAAGCAAAGAACUCUUUAGAUAGUGGAGUCACACUGGAAAAAGCACAGACCCUUGAGUGUACUGCUUGGAGGAGAGCUACCCUGGAGCAUUUGCUCCA